GAAGAAUGAACUGCUCCUUCUCCCGUACCCAUUGCAUAUCGGAGCUGUGAAUUCUCAAAGCACCUCCUAUGUGCAUGGAUUACAGGAGGGGGGAGCCCUGUCAUCA
rnacentral:pre_miRNA from 8 species